GACGCUGGCGGCGUGCUUAACACAUGCAAGUCGAACGAGAGGAGAAGGAAGCUUGCUUCUUUCAAAUCUAGUGGCAAACGGGUGAGUAACACGUAAACAACCUGCCUUCAGAGGGGGAUAACAUUUGGAAACAGAUGCUAAUACCGCAUAAGAUUACAGUACCGCAUGAUACAGUGAUCAAAGGAGCAAUCCGCUGAAAGAUGGGCUCGCGUCCGAUUAGAUAGUUGGUGAGGUAACGGCUCACCAAGUCGACGAUCGGUAGCCGGACUGAGAGGUUGAACGGCCACAUUGGGACUGAGACACGGCCCAGACUCCUACGGGAGGCAGCAGUGGGGAAUAUUGCACAAUGGGCGAAAGCCUGAUGCAGCAACGCCGCGUGAGGGAAGACGGUUUUCGGAUUGUAAACCUCUGUUUCGGUGACGAACAAAUGACGGUAACCGAGUAGGAAGCCACGGCUAACUACGUG
rnacentral:rRNA from 1 species